rnacentral:tRNA from 3 species
GGGGCCGUGGGGUAGCUUGGACCAUCCUUCUUGCUUGGGGUGCAAGAGACUCCGAUUCAAAUUCGGACGGCCCCA